GUUCCAGACUCCUACGGGAGGCAGCAGUGAGGAAUAUUGGUCAAUGGGCGGAAGCCUGAACCAGCCAAGUCGCGUGAGGGAAUAAGGCCCUACGGGUCGUAAACCUCUUUUGCCGGGGAGCAAGGGCCGGGACGCGUCCCGGCCCGGAGAGUACCCGGAGAAAAAGCAUCGGCUAACUCCGUGCCAGCAGCCGCGGUAAUACGGAGGAUGCGAGCGUUAUCCGGAUUUAUUGGGUUUAAAGGGUGCGUAGGCGGACGCUUAAGUCAGCGGUAAAAUUGCGGGGCUCAACCUCGUCGAGCCGUUGAAACUGGGUGCCUUGAGUGGGCGAGAAGUAUGCGGAAUGCGUGGUGUAGCGGUGAAAUGCAUAGAUAUCACGCAGAACUCCGAUUGCGAAGGCAGCAUACCGGCGCCCAACUGACGCUGAAGCACGAAAGCGUGGGUAUCGAACAGGAUUAGAUACCCCCGUAA
rnacentral:rRNA from 1 species